GGACAACUCAAUAGGAGAGAAAAUGAAGGAAGGGAACAGAGACAGAGAGAGAGAAAGGACAGUUGAAAACGCGCAAAUGGAAAGAAAAAGAAAGCGGCAUCACUCAGUAGAUCUCUAUCUCUCUCCUCUCACACCCACACGGGCGCUAAGUCAGUGUGGAAAAACUAAAUUAAUAAAAUAAAGUAUAAUAAAUAAGAGCGAUUUCUCUGUCUCCCUCUUUCUGUUCCCCUCUUAUGGUUUCUUUCUGAGACGGAGUUAAGUGGAGGGGGCCGGCGACUCACGUAACUCGGGCGAGUUAUGGGUUGUUGCCAAUCU
rnacentral:misc_RNA from 1 species